UGGUCGGGAUAGCUCAGCUGGUAGAGCAGAGGACUGAAAAUCCUCGU
rnacentral:tRNA from 86 species